rnacentral:rRNA from 1 species
GGAUGCGAUCAUACCAGCACUAAAGCAUCGGAUCCCAUCAGAACUCCGAAGUUAAGCGUGCUUGGGCGAGAGUAGUACUAGGAUGGGUGACCUCCUGGGAAGUCCUCGUAUUGCAUUCU